rnacentral:rRNA from 1 species
AAGGAGACAGGUGGUGCAUGGUUGUCGUCAGCUCGUGUCGUGAGAUGUUGGGUUAAGUCCCGCACGAGCGCAACCCUGUGGUUAGUUGCCAGCAAGUAGCGUUGGGCACUCUAGCCAGACUGCCGGUGAUAAAUCGGAGGAAGGUGGGGACGACGUCAAAUCAUCAUGCCCUUUAUGUCCUGGGCUACACACGUACUACAAUGGCCGUUACAACGGGAAGCGAAGGAGCAAUCCGGAGCAAAUCCCUUAAAGGCGGUCCCAGUUCAGAUUGUGGGCUGAAACUCGCCCACAUGAAGGCGGAAUUGCUAGUAAUUGCAGAUCAGCAUGCUGCAGUGAAUACGUUCCCGGGCCUU